AGCCGCGUCAGCUGACCGCCGGGUUGGCUCGCCAUUGGUGAGCGCUCCAGGGGCGGGAGCGAGGCCGUUACAAAACGCCGCGCCGAGGGAGCGUUCCGUAACAGGGUGGGAGGGGCGGGGCUGGCGCCGGGCGGUCUGGGCGUGAGUCAAGCGAGGGGGCACGGCCGGCCGUUAGGGAGCGAGCCUCGGACACGGGCCCUGCUGUUUCUCUGGGGCUGAGCGAGAGCAGAGUGCGGCGAGAGCCCCUCGCCUGUAGCGGGGGAAAGGGGGCAGCCCCGUGGCUUCGGGUUGUGGCUCCUGUAGGCGGUGCCGCUCCUCGCAGCGGCCCUAGCUCCGGAAGAGAAUCCUUGGACUGAUUGGACUUCUUCCUUCUGCUAUUGUUGCCUGGCUGGGUUAUUUCCUAAUGGCAAUUCCAUGAAGCUUGACCAAUGGAAAAGCUCUUCUUACAGAGGUGUGUCUGCUCCACUGUGCUGUGCACAAACAUCCAGGAAUUUAAUCAGAAAGAGAACACCUGUGAGAUUGUUUGCAAACUGUGAUACAUCUGUAGUAAUAAAAAUAAAUGCUAAGUUAGAUUUCUUGCUUUUAUAGUCCUGUUAUUUCACAGGCUUGGAAGAGGAAAGAAAAUGACCCAACUACUUGUAUUUGAUAAAACUUAUUUUGUAGUUACUUCAGUAGAAUCCACCUAGGAAGAGAUACAGAUGCUCUAACAGCUCAUCUCUACCUCAAAUUGUCUUAAUCCAGUUAAGAUAAAAUUACUUGCCCUAACUUGUAGGUCCAGAUUUUGCCACCGAAUGAAGCUCUUCUUUCAACAGUACCUGUAUCUAUUUUUUUCAUUUCUUUUCCAGUUUGGGGGUAAUUAAAGCUAGGUGGUUUGUAGAUGAAGUUGUUAGGCAUCUUUGGGAAAGGUAAUCUUAUAGAGGCUUGACUGCAGUCUGGCAAUGAGUUUUUGCGGUGACUCAGUAUAGGAGUUCAGCACGAUUACCAUAUUUUGAUGAUUAAAAACCCAGAUAUCAUAUUUUAGGAAUUAAUGUUUUCCCUUCACAGUUCCAGGUUAACACAGCAUAGCAGAAACAGUGCUAUAUGAAUAUUUCAUUAAAGAAAAUAGGAUUACAAAUACAAACUUAUUUUUCUCUUUUGGGCAACAUCCUCAUAUUUCAGUUUUGAUGUAAAUUUUUUUCAGAUGCAUGUCAUAUGGAACUAAACUGAUCACCAUCUCUAUACGCUUCACAUUUGUUACACCUCCAGUUAAGCCAGCUUAGCUGUUUCAUUUGCAGAAACUGCUACAUUCAUAAUUUAUGGGAGAAGGCUGUUUCCCAAAGCGUAGCCAGUGAGAGGAAAUUUUACAGUGUGAAAUGCUUGUGUGGUGAUGUCAAAACAUGAAAUAACCUCAUAACUACUGGCAUAGAUUAAAUUUAAAUAUAACUCAGCAUGACUGAAAAAUCUUCUUAGUGUCCUAGAUUUGCACUUUAGGUUUCAAUUUAUACUAGGCGUGAGUAAGAGUUGUUAGCUGCAUGAAUAAUACAUCAUUUUCUUCAGCUCAGAUCAUUCCCUUCACAUGUUUAUUCAUUUAUGCUGUUUAAAUGAACAGAAAUGCUUGUAUCAGUAUUCAGUGGUAUUCUGACAAGCUACAGGAUAGAUCAGUUUCCUCAGGCUUAAAAAGUAAAAGCCCAGAACUACUUACUCAGAUGCAAUCUUUUAAAAUAAUGUUUUAUAUUUUGUCAUCAUCUGCAUUUGAACACGGAAACCACAUUCCAUACUUUUGUAUUGUGAUUUUGUAUAAAAUUCUUGCAUACAUU